rnacentral:rRNA from 1 species
GACGAACCGUACGAACGUUAUUCGGAAUCACUGGGCUUAAAGGGUGCGUAGGCGGCGCGACAAGUUGGGUGUGAAAUCCCUCGGCUCAACCGAGGAACUGCGCCCAAAACUGUCGUGCUCGAGGGAGACAGAGGUGAGCGGAACUUAGGGUGGAGCGGUGAAGUGCGUUGAUAUCCUAAGGAACACCGGUGGCGAAAGCGGCUCACUGGGUCUCUUCUGACGCUGAGGCACGAAAGCUAGGGUAGCGAACGGG